rnacentral:rRNA from 1 species
ACGAACGCUGGCGGCGUGCCUAAUACCUGCAAGUCGAACGAACCGCGACUGAGUGCUUGCACUUGGUCAAGGUGAGUGGCGAACGGGUGAGUAACACGUGGGUAACCUACCUCAUAGUGGGGGAUAACAGUCGGAAACGACUGCUAAUACCGCAUAGGACAUGGAAUCACAUGAUUCUGUGAGGAAAGGUGGCGCAAGCUAUCGCUAAGAGAUGGACCCGCGGUGCAUUAGCUAGUUGGUAGGGUAAGGGCCUACCAAGGCGAUGAUGCAUAGCCGACCUGAGAGGGUGAUCGGCCACAUUGGGACUGAGACACGGCCCAAACUCCUACGGGAGGCAGCAGUAGGGAAUCUUCCGCAAUGGACGCAAGUCUGACGGAGCAACGCCGCGUGAGUGAAGAAGGUCUUCGGAUCGUAAAGCUCUGUUGUUAGAGAAGAACAGCGCAUAGAGUAACUGUUAUGCGUGUGACGGUAUCUAACCAGAAAGCCACGGCUAACUACGUG